rnacentral:tRNA from 1 species
GGCUUUUCCAGAGCAUCAGACUUCGGAUCUGAGGGUUGGGGGUUCGAGUCCCUCCGGGCGCGCCA